UGCUGUCAUGUGACUCAA
rnacentral:piRNA from 1 species